GAUGAACGCUGGCGGCGUGCCUAAUACAUGCAAGUAGAACGCUGAAGGAGGAGCUUGCUCUUCUGGAUGAGUUGCGAACGGGUGAGUAACGCGUAGGUAACCUGCCUGGUAGCGGGGGAUAACUAUUGGAAACGAUGGCUAAUACCGCAUGACAACAGUUAUUGCAUGAUAACUGUUUAAAAGGGGCAACUGCUCCACUACCAGAUGGACCUGCGUUGUAUUAGCUAGUUGGUGAGGUAACGGCUCACCAAGGCGACGAUACAUAGCCGACCUGAGAGGGUGAUCGGCCACACUGGGACUGAGACACGGCCCAGACUCCUACGGGAGGCAGCAGUAGGGAAUCUUCGGCAAUGGACGGAAGUCUGACCGAGCAACGCCGCGUGAGUGAAGAAGGUUUUCGGAUCGUAAAGCUCUGUUGUAAGAGAAGAACGAGUGUGAGAGUGGAAAGUUCACACUGUGACGGUAUCUUACCAGAAAGGGACGGCUAACUACGUG
rnacentral:rRNA from 1 species